rnacentral:tRNA from 16 species
GGGGUUCAAAUCCCUCUCUUUCUG